rfam:Triticum aestivum genome assembly, contig: Triticum_aestivum_CS42_TGACv1_scaffold_195838_3AL
AAUCUACUCCCUCCGUUCCAAAUCACUCGUCCAGAAAUGGAUGUAUCUAGAACUAAAAUACAUCUAGAUACAUCCAUACCUGCAACAAGUAAUUCGGAACGGAGGGAGUACUUC